rnacentral:lncRNA from 1 species
UCUUUUUUUUUCUUUUUUUUUUUUUUUUAAUUUUUAUUUAUUUAUGAUAGUCAGAGAGAGAGAGGCAGAGACACAGGCAGAGGGAGAAGCAGGCUCCAUGCACCGGGAGCCCGAUGUGGGAUUCGAUCCCGGGUCUCCAGGAUCGCGCCCUGGGCCAAAGGCAGGCGCCAAACCGCUGCGCCACCCAGGGAUCCCGUGGGCCUUUUUCUUUUAAGAUUUUAUUUAUUUAUUAGAGAGAGAGCAAGCAUGAGCAGGGGUAAGAACAGGAAGAAGCAGACACCCCUCUGGGCAGGGAUCCCAGGACUCUGGGAUCAUGACCUGAGCUGAAAAAAAACAAGUUCAUAAAACUAUGAAAGUCAUGGAUGUGACUAUUAUAAUCUUGAAAUCUUCACCAAAUAUUGUGUUAUUAGAAGUAGAUGAGGUUUUAGGAUACACGCACAAAAAGAAAGAAAAGAAAAAACAAGGUCCUAUUUGUGACUAGUACACUUAGAGAAUUUUUUAUUCCUUAAGACACUAGAAACUGAACAUAUAAUCAAGUAGGGAGGGAGUCCAUGAAUUCAUGGGAGAUUGACCUCAGCACCAGUUGCUUCAGAUUCCUUUGGGAUUUUUGACUCCCGUUGGAGACAGACUGCUGGUUGGGUGGAUCAUGAAUCUAACCAAGUAUCACAUUUCUGUGGUUAUAUAUUCCUUCAGGGAACAUUUAAUAGCACCCACUAUGUGCCAGGCAGUGCUCUAGGGAGUGAGGAUAUUGCAGUCAAUAUGUCCUUGCCCUCGAGGGCUUCCACUCUAGAGGGAAAAGCAGGUAUGUGAAAAGAUAAAUUGCAGUUUAUUGAGGUCUCAUAAUAAAACUACAAUUAAAAUGCUUUAUAGGGGAUCUCUGGUUGGCUCAGCGGUUUGGCGCCUGCCUUUGGCCCAGGGUGCGAUCUUGGAGUCCCGGGAUCGAGUCCCGCGUCGGGCUCCCGGCAUGGAGCCUGCUUCUCCCUCCUCCUGUGUCUCUGCCUCUCUCUCUCUAUGUCUAUCAUAAAUAAAUAAAAAUAAAUAAAUCGUUAAUAAAAUAAAAUGCUUUAUAACCCCAAAAUUCUGUGAUAAUAAAUAGACAAUCUGUUCAUUAAAGGGACUUGACAGUAUUUGAUAGAUGAUAGAUAGAUAGAUAGAUAGAUAGAUAGAUAGAUAGAUAGAUAAAAGAUACCUGGUAGGAGAUACUAAGAGCAGGAACACAAUGCUAUAUGUCCUUUGGGUUACUGGCAUAAAACCUACUUAUUUUUGAAACUAAAAAGAAUUUGAAUCUGUAAGUUAUUUGUCUUUCUCUUUUUUUAUCCCCCUUCCCCACCUGUACUUUAUUUUUCUUUUUAGAUUUUCACUUAUUUGAGAGAGAGAGAAUGCAUGUAUGCACAUGCACAAGAGUGGAUGAGCAGGGGGUAGAGGAAGAGGAGAGAGAGAGAAUCCCUAUAGCUGACUCUGCACUGAGCACUGAGCAUGACCCGAGGUUUGAUCCCACAACCUUGAGAUCAUGACCCAAGCCGAGACCAAGAUUCAGACACCCAGAUGCGCAACCAACUGACCCACCCAGGUGCCACCCCCACCUGCAUUUUAGAACUUUCUGUAAGUCAGAAAAUGUUUGUGGGUGGAUAGAAGGAUAGUUAGAUGAAUAAAUGAAUAAAAGAAUGAAUUUUUUGCUUCUAGAAGCUGGGCAGAUUCUCCCAAUAGAAAUUUGUUCAUCAUUGAAGCCUCAUGAUCAUCAAAUUCAUCAAGCAACCAUUUCUGAGGUCUCUGUGUGUACAAGUCCUGGAAGCUGUUUUGAUUCAAUACAAAAAGUGGCGUUUUGGGUUUCUGAGACCAUUGCUUAUGAGUUUUUAAAUCUGCAUUUCCAGAAAUUCUAUAGAGUGGAAAGCUCUAUGGGAUUGUAAAUUGUAAGCCAAAGGUCAUACUGAUUUUAGCAGCAAUACAUUGAAGAAAGAAAUCUUACUUCAGUGAUUUCUCACUGGAAUGAGUACAUUUUAGUCUGCAUGUUGCUCAGGAAGGCUGUCCCCCUGGAAAACCUCAACAUAAUUCCAAAGCCUGGCAUUCUUGAUGACCUCACCAGGAAUUGGUGAUUAGGAGGCCAAGGUCCAGGAAAGAAUCUUGGACCAGGAAUCUGGACAUUAUUAAAUGAUUUUUCCUUAUGAGAAGCUUAGUGUUAGGUAAAUAUUCAUGAGAAAAUAGCUCUGCAGCUUCCUCAAGUUGCUUUUCUCCCCAUGUACCCUUCCCCACCUCCACUUCCCAUCCUCCCUCCAGUAGAAACUGCACAAAGAUGAGACCAUAGAGUUGUGUUGCCCAAUAGCCAUGUGUAGCUAUUUAAAUUAAUUAAAAUUCGAUGAAAUUUAAAAUGCAAUUUGUCAGUCAUCCUGACCACAUAUCAAAAGUACUCAGAAAGCCACAUGUGUCUAGUACCUACCAUGAUGGACAGUGCAGAGGACAUUUCCAUCAUUACAGAAAGGGCAAGAACAUGCUUGCCCUAAGGAAAAAAGGAAAGUGAGCUGCUGAGGGGGAAGGAAGUCACUUUGGAGAACUUCUAGACCAGCCAUACAGAGAGGAGAAGGAACGUUCUAGCAGGAAGUUGCCUUUGGAUGCUCAGCCUGGCAAUAAGAGUAUAAAGUGAGGGCAGGGGUAUAAGCUUUGAGGCAAGAACCCAGCUUUAAUCCUGGCCCCACUACUUACCAAGUGUGUGGCUGUGAGCGAGUUAGGUGAAUUCUCUGAGUCUCACUCUCCUCGUCCGGGAAAUGGUGGUGUCAUAAUAGUUCUUAUGCCAUUAGGUCUGAUGUAAGAAUUAACAAGACAGUGUCAAGUGCUAAGCAUGCUGC